rnacentral:rRNA from 1 species
AUCCUGGCUCAGGAUGAACGCUGGCGGCAUGCCUAAUACAUGCAAGUCGAACGAGGAUCCUUGUGGAUCCUAGUGGCGAACGGGUGAGUAACACGUAGGGAACCUGCCCGCGCACCGGGAAUACGCUCUGGAAACGGAGAACAAAUCCCGAUGUACAGGAAGGAGGCAUCUUCUUUCUGUGAAACAUCCUGUAAGGGAUGGGGCGCGGAUGGACCUGCGGUGCAUUAGUUGGUUGGCGAGGGUAAAGGCCCACCAAGACGAUGAUGCAUAGCCGGCCUGAGAGGGCGGACGGCCACAUUGGGACUGAGACACGGCCCAGACUCCUGCGGGAGGCAGCAGUAGGGAAUUUUCGUCAAUGGGCGCAAGCCUGAACGAGCGAUGCCGCGUGAGUGAAGAAGGCCUUCGGGUCGUAAAGCUCUGUUGCGGGGGAAAAAAGGCAACUACAGGAAAUGGUAGAUGACAGAUGGUGCCCCGCCAGAAAGUCACGGCUAACUACGUG